CCUGGUUAAACUUUGUCAGUUCCAUGAACGCAUUACCAACCGCAUACUCAGACGAAAUCUGGUGCUACUGAUAUAAGAAAACGGCGAUCGAACAGCCACUGCUGUUGCAAUUAGGCACAAAUGAUAGUUUUAACACAAUACUGCUUCUAUUGCAUAUAACGAACUUUUAUUCAGCUGGGCGGCUAAUUGCAACAUCAGUGAUUGCUCUCCGAUUUGGUGGCUCAGUUUUCAUUGAAAUUUUGUCAUUGGCCGAAAAUCAUUUUAUACUCAGCUAUGCAUGAUUAAGUUUAAAGUAAGGAAUAUACAUAAAGACAAGCAAGAUUUGAAUUUUAGUAUUAUAUAUAUAUAUUCUUUUAUCCUUUUACUUGUUUCACUCAUUUGACUGCGGCCAUGCCGGAGUACCACUUUAAAGGGUGUCAGAAAUUGACCGAAGUACUUAUUCUUUGUAAGCGUAGUACUUAUUCUGUCGGUCUCUUUUGCCGAACCGCUCAGUUACGGGGAUAUAAACACACCAACAUCGGUUAUCAAGUGAUGGUGGGGGACAAACACACAGACACACACACAUACAUAUAUAUGUUAGGGUUCUGUAAUACAUUAGCGGUACCAAUAAUUAGUUGUUAAAUCUCAAUAUACUUAUAUUCACAGUAUUAGUAAGGACCGGCGCUGAGGAGUUGUGAAAUGUCAGACAUUAAAAGUGCUCUGAGGAAGCUAUAACAUUCCACACAGGCACUCAGCUAUUGAUCUACAUUUCCUUAUAGCAGAAACAACAGUAAGCUAUUGAAUGUGAUUACGUAAGUCUUGUUCUUUUGUGAUUCGAAUACACAUGCACACACACAUGGAUACGCAUACAUGUAUGUAUACAUACACACGUAAAUGUAUUGUGUGUGCGUAUUAUAUGCUGUUAAUAUUAAAUACCGGUUGAUUAAUCUUUCCCUCCAGCUACCUGACCCGCCAAACAAUUAAUUCUAUUUAUCUGCACGGAUAUUUGGGAUAAAAACAAACAUUUUAAGACAUCAAACAUUAAUUAGAGUGGUUCUAAUUAGGACUUGAAAUCAUGUCGACCAAAUGAAGGUCUAAUGAAGAGUGGUGUAUGUGUGCGUAUAUACGAGUAUGUGUGCAUGCAUAAAUGAAUGCAUAUACAUUUAUGAGUAUAUGUAUAUGUGUGUAAAUGUUAUAUCUGUAUACAUGUGUGCAUAUGUAUACAUAUGCCUGCGUAUGAUACAUACACACAUACACACACACAGACACACACAACACACACACCUAUAUUCUCUGAAGCAGAUGUGAAUUGAGUUUAUACGCACACUCACACACAUACUCUCUCUUUCUCUCUCUCUCUCGCUCUAACACACUCUCUCUUUUUCUCUCUCUCUCACACACACGCGCACACGCAUAUAUAUGCAUACGAUGGGCUUCCACGCAGUUUCUUUUAACUAAAUUCACUCUCAAGACAUUGAUCGACCCGGGGCUAUAGAAGAAGGCAUUUCCCCAAAGUGUCGUGCAAUGGGACUGAAAUCCAAACCACACGGUUUGUUGCAAACCGAGCUUCUCAGCCACACAGCCAUGUCUGCUUAUGAAGCCUGCACACCCGCUUUAAUAAACCACAGUAAUAUCGAACAACUUACAACCAGAACUUAUUAACUGAAAAUAGCUUUCUUGCAGAGAAUGAAAUUUGAUAUAUUUCCCCCAGGUUCAAACGUUGCCGAUUUGAUUAAUUUCUGGUGACCAUUGUUCUGCAAACAUUUUUCAAAAUUAAUGAAAUUUGCCUGGAGUUCAGAACGACAUGCAAUUGUGAACAAAUAUUUUCAUCGAUGAAAUUCAUAUUAAAUAAUCUCACGAAUGCCUGAUUGAAGCCUGGAAAGUUUUCUGUUGUUCUCCAUAAUUAAUUUAAGAACAAACAUUGACGGAAUCAAGACAGACUGAAAAGUCUCAUUAAAAAUGAUGUUUACAUUGUUUUUACGGGUGCAGUGUGGCUUUGUGGUAAAAAGGUUGCUUCCCAACCACAUGGUUCCGGGUUCAGUCCCACUGCGUGGCACGUUGGGCGAGUAUCUUCUAUAGCCUCGGGCCAACCAAAAGCUUUGUGAGUGGAUCUGGUAGACGGAAAUUGAAAAAAGUCCGUCUUGUGUGUGUGUGUGUGUGUGUGUGUGUGUGUGUAUAGCAAAAAUUUAGAUUCAGAUGAAUAUGGUACUUAAGUUAAGGCACCAGAAUUUAGUACGGUAUUAUGCAUACGAUUUCAAAGUAAGGUGAUUAAAAUCAAAAUAAGGUGGUGCUCCAGCAUGGCCGCUGUCAAAUGACUGAAACAAGUAAAAGAAUAAAAGAAUAUUAUCGAGUGAGCAAUAAACAAAUAAAUAGUUAAAAGAAAAUUGUACAUGCCUCAGAACAUCCCCAAACUAGACACCAAUAUUUAAGCAUUAUCUAAUCCUAAUUAAAUUACAUAUAAAGAAAACCAAACAAUACCAAAAUAAGUGAUUGGAUUUGGUAGGCGGAAACUGAAAGAAGCCCGUCGUAUAUAUGUAUAUAUAUAUAUAUAUAUAUAUAUAUAUAUAUAUAUAUAUAUAUAUAUAUAUAUAUAUAUAUAUGUGUGUGUGUGUGUGUGUGUGCAUGUGUGUGUGUGUAUAUGUUUGCGUGUCUGUGUUUGUCCCCCCAACAUCGCUUGACAACCGAUGCUGGUGUGUAUACGUCCCCGUAACUUAGUGGUUCGACAAAAGAGUCCGAUAGAAUAAGUACUAGGCUUACAAAGAAUUUGUCGAUUUGCUCAACAUGUCGGAUCCUGGUUAGCGUAGUAUUCCAAUAUUCGAAGGAAGAUCGGUCAGGCACUGAUCAAUAGGAAGAGGAGCACUUCAUAACUCCAAGAUGUGAUCUUGGCUUAAAAUAAGACAUACAGAGUGAACAAUAACAACAGCAACAACACCACCACCAACAACAGUAAUGAUAAUAAUAAAUGUCCUGAUCCAGGCAGACACUCUUAUGGCUUCUGAUCUUAACUGAUUGGAAGUGUUAUCAUGCACAUUGUUUUGUCAUGGUGUAAAAAAUGGGCUACAGCAAAUAUUCUGUUCAAUACCACAAAUUUGCUUGUCAGUUGCUUGACCUUAACCAGUUGAACAUGUCCCUUAGUGGAUGAUGAUAUGUGCAUCUUUGAUCAUGAGCAGGAGUAGUGGGGCAGCAUCAUAGCUGUGUGUUGAAAGGAAUUCUUUGGAGUUUGAGUAAUUCACCUCUGGAAACAUGGGUGCUUUGUUCAUCUUCCUUAAGUAAACCUUAUUCAGGGACCUUUUAAGCUGGAUGGGCUACUCGAUCUGAAAGAUUCUAACUGGGCCCCACCUGCAAGCUCAUGCACUGUUUAUCGCGACAUGAGAUCACCAUGUCACGUAUAUAAGGUUGUGAUGCAUGUGCCUGGUGCUACCUUAUCAGACAGGUAAUUAUGAUGGGUAUAUUGGGCUUCGUAUAUUUGUGCCCCAGUGUCCCUUUGGUGGCAUGCAUUGCUCUCUCACUCAAUAAUAAUAAUAAUAAUAAUAAUAAUAAUAAUAAUAAUAAUAAUAAUAAUUUAGAUGAGGAAAGGAAAAAUUAUGUCGGCAUUAUGAUCGUUUCCGUAAAGGAACAUUUUUUAUUUCAUAUUUCAUACAAUAUUAUGUAAUACAUUCCGUGUAUAGAAAUAUGUAAUAAUAAUUUUAUAGUUCGUUGCACAUAUACGUAGUUAGGAUAAAUCCCAGCUGUUUCUUCUUGAAGCACAUCUGCUUAAUAUAUUAUUACAAUCAAUAUGUAUCCAAAGUCUAUUAAACAUGUGAAUCUGCUUACAUUAUUUACAUUCGACACAUAAAUGUCCUCAUCUCGUUUGUUUUUAACAGAACGUUUCGGCUGAUAUACCCUCCAGCCUUCAUCAGGUGUCUUGGGGAAAUUUAGAACCUGGGUUUUUCAUUCCUAAGAAGGCUGAAGAAGGCUGGAGGGUAUAUCAGCCGAAACGUUGUGUUAACAACAAACAAAAUGAUGACAAAUAUUCGUCGAAUGUAAAUAAUGUACACAUUUUCUUAUCUCUUAAAUAUAGAACUGUAUGUGAAUCUUUGUUAUUCCUAUUAGCAAAUGAAACACCUGUAAUGGAGAAUAAAUAAUACCCCAAAAUUACACUUUCGUGUUUUGUUAUACACAAAUACAUAUAUACAUACAUGCAUACAUACAUACAUACAUACAUACAUACAUACAUACACACACCCAUACCUACAUACAUACAUACAUACAUACAUACAUACAUACAUACAUACAUGUAUGUAUAUAUAUAUGUAUAUAUAUAUAUAUAUAUAUAUAUCUCGCUAAAACUCUUUUUCUUUCACGGUCAGAUGUCAAGUCUGUUAACUGAUUGCUCGAAAAGCUUCUUAUUUUAAAUUGAUCUUGAAAAUUAUCCUUGCAGCACAUGGACGGGGAUUAAGUAUUCACUCUAUUAAGUGAGGUAAAUACGACGAGUAUUUUUCCUUAAAUGCCGUUAGGUAGCUCAUAUAAUAAGCACCGUUAACAAAAGUGAAGCUUUUUAUACAGCGUAGCGAAGAACAUUCUGGAGUUUGUCUUUGUUUAUUAUUUUCGUAAUUACGAACUUUGUAGCAGUUUUCCUGAUUAUAUAUCUCCUUGAUUAAAGGUUAAUCUUACGUGGUGGCUCAUUAGGAACACUAGCUAACAAUUACACAAUGCAUAGAUUAUGAUAACAUCACAGCAGCAAUACACACACACACACACACACACACACACACACACACACACACACACGGGCGUUUCUUACUUUGAAUAAAAAAUCAGCUUGUUUUAUACUCCUGCUUCUGGAAUGUUAUUGCUUUAUAUCGAAUACAGUUUGCCAUAAUUUCAAAGAAUUCAUUGAAAAAAAAAUCAAUUUAUUAUUUAUUUAUUUGUUUAUUUAAUGGUUUACUUACAUAGGCGUAGGAGUGGCUGUGUGGUAAGUAGCUUGCUUACGAACCACAGGAUUCCAGAUUCAGUCCUAUUGCGUGGCACCUUGGGCAAGUGUCUUCUACUAUAGCUUCGGGCUGACCAAACCCUUGUGAGUGGAUUUGGUAGACGGAGACUGAAAGAAGCCCUUCUUAUAUAUGUAUAUAUAUAUAUACACAUAUAUAUAUUCAUCGGGAUCACCGUGUCGGACCAGGCUAUCAGAUGUUGGUACACAUCACUAGUCACAAUGCGCUUCGUAUUGUUUUAGCCUUCAAAUGACGCAACCCCGCUGGCUAAGCGAGCAAGCCAAUAUAUAUAUAUAUAUAUAUAUAUAUAUACAUACAUACACACACACACACACACACACACACACACACACACACACAUAUAUAUAUAUAUAUAUGCAUGUAUGUAUGAGUGUAUAUGUUUGUGUGUCUGUUUGUCCCCCGAUAUCGCUUGACAACCGAUGCUGGUGUGUUUACCAGCAAAAGAGACCGAUAGAAUAAUUACUAGGCUUACAAAGAAUAAGUCCUAGGGUAGAUUUGCUCGACUAAAGGCGGUGCUCUAGCAUGGCCACAGUCAAAUGACUGAAACAAGUAAACGAGUAAAAGGGUUACUCAUUUAAGCCCUUCGCUUCCUUUGGAGCAGAGACCAUCGGCGAAUUUCUUCUCCUCUUCUCGACUUUGAGUUGUCUUUCCUGCUUUGAGUUGUCCUUAGAGUCGGAUCUCUAGUUUUUCCUUUCAGAUUUUGCUGCACUACUUCGUAUGUUUCCCUGAGGGAAAGCCUUCUUCUUCCAGAUCUUUUGCUUUUGAAUUAAUAUCUGUGUUUCUGUAACUUUGCUUAUUCUAGAUAAGGAUGUUGGCUUCAUGCAAACCCAUAUUUACCUCUGGGAAGAGGAGGUUCAUGUUAGUCUAACUUUUAUCCUCCAACCUAUCCAGCAUGGGAGGCCCUACCAGGAGCUUACAAUCUGAUGGCUUAGCUCUCUCUGGGUCAUUGAGGCAUGCAAGCCACCACACUAUCAAAAGUAUUUGUAAUAGAUUCAAUGUCUUUGUCGAAAGAAAGUUGGCAGUACCCACAACCCUUUUCAGGGGCUCCGUGACCAAUGGGAGGAAGGAAGGAAAACUCGGUUUCAAUAUUUGCUACAAAAGCAAAUUUAAAAAAAAAAACUCACAGAAUUUUAUGUUUAUUACCAAAACAAAUAGAUUUAUAAAUCUUACGUCAAACUUUUAUUGAAAAUUUUUAACAUGUCUGUAUCCUUGCAUACUUCAAAUCUCUCCUUGACGUCGUGAAACACAUUUUGAGACAUUUCAGAAGUUAGCCCCUGCACUGCUAACUGAAUGUGUUCUUUAAGCUCAGCUAAACGAUUGCUCCAUCUUGGGGAUGAAGAUAAAGAAAAUGAUUGCUGCCAAAUUGAAAAAAGACUGUCAUGGACAAAUAUGAAGGGCCCAAGAGGAAUGAAAAUAAAAUUAUAAACAAAAUUCAAUAUUUAUACACUUUUAACACAUAUUAAAUAUGAUAAGCAUAAAUAAAAGUGAGUUUUGAAAAAAUGCAUCAGAUUUCACUCAGAUCAUCAUUAAUUCUGGGACACCUUGUAUUUACACGUCCGACUAAACGGGGGGAGGGAACACGGGGGUGGGGACUAAUUGCAGGUGUCGGGCGUAGCUUCCGGAAGUGGUUACGCGGUCAAACUCAAAUGGCUGUGAGUCACAACAGCAGUUUGAUUUUUUGCAUUAUAUAAUUCAGACACAGGUGACAUAGAAAGCUGACAUGCUGCCGGGCCAUGUUGUGUUGCACAGGAUUGGAAACGUGAAACAUCAACAGGGAGUUUCUGGAGAAUGGAUGAAUGGGUUUGUUGUGCCAUUACCCAGCCGCACACAUACGCACAUGGCUCGUGUAGUGGUGUGCGGGAUGGUAACAUGAAGCAUCAAGAGGGCACCGACAAAAAUUUUAAUGUCCUUCUCAUUUCCUCUGCUAAACUGGACAGAAAGGUUUUCAAGAAAUAUUACACGCUACUUAUAAUGCAUAUUUUAUCGUCGGCCUAAAACGAAGAUAAAACCCAGUGCAGUAUACUCAAAUCUGAUUAAUCUGCAUUUUUGUGGGGCCCAUAGUCGGCAUCGGAAUUUCUUUUUUAGUCAACUGCAAUUCGAGGAGCCUGAUUAAUGUUCCUUGUAAAUUUGGAGAAAAGCGACUGGACACUCUUCAAAUUACGGGCCUUAACGCUGCGAAAAUACUUUAAAACUGCGGUUUAUCUGCCCCUGGGCCCGCAUUAGUCAAGAAGUAGAAAAUGUUUUUUGGACUUUGACACUUCAUAGACCCUAUGUAAUGCAUGUAUAAAAUUUCAUUAAAAUCGGCUGGGUGGAUCUCGAGUUUUAACGAUAUGACAAACUCAGACAGACACACAUCUAUUUAUCCAUUCUCCAGAAAUGCCCUGUUGAUAUUUCACGUUUCCAAUCCUGUGCAACGCAGCAUGGCCCGGCAGCAUGUCAACUCAUCUGUGUCUGAAUUAUAUAAUGCAAAAUGUUUAUACAAAAAAUCAAACUUUCUAUCAGCGUUAGUCUCGUUCUUCUAACAUUACUCUAUAUAUUCUCUCUCUCUGCUCUAAAUAGGAUGAAGUUGUGCUGGAUUAAUUGUCAAUAUUCAGUACUGGAUUAAGUUCAUAGAAUGGAUUUUAUGAACUUUAAAGGGCGAAGAUAAAUAAUGGUUUCAAAUUUUGGCACAAGGCCAGCAAAUUGGGGAGAGGGGUAAUUUGAUUACAUGGAUCCCAGGGCCCAACUAGUGCUUAUUUUAUCGAUCCCUAAAGUAGACCUCAGAAUUUGAACGGAGCACGUAAAGACGGGCGAAAUGCCACCAAGUAUUUUGCCCGGAGUGCUAACUAUUCUGCCAGCUGGAAAUAUAUAAUGAUUGUGAUACUUAUGAUUUGUUCUAAGGUAUAAGUGAAUUAAAAUAACCACGAUUAGGGACAGAAACUUAGUCAUAGACUUGGUUUGUAGGGAACUUCAUGUUAAUUCUCGGCAUUUACUUUAUGAUUAAAUAUUGGUGUCUUUUGCGGAAGCGCAAGAUCAAAUAUAUUCGUGGAAAAAUUAAAAUCAAAUGACAUAAAAAUAAUGCAUCUAUCCUAGUUUAUCAUUGAUCCAGGAUAAUGUUGUACGCUCAUUGUGAGCAGUGUUUACGGGUUAUCAAUCAGCCAAAGAUUCUCCUUUGAGAGCAAAAGCGUACCCCAGCAGUUAUCCACAAGACUCAGGACAGCUUAGGGUCUUGGAACAAAAUCUGGAUCUUUUCGGUUUGAACGGCAGUUUUUAACAUAAUUUCUAGGUAACUAAAAAAAUUUAAACUUCGUAUACUGGUAGAUUGUGUUUAUAAAACAUCUUUUUCUCUUGGCUUUAUUGAGAAAAUUCUAUAGUUUGUAAGAUAUUUGUUGUUUUUUUUCUUCAAUUUCUGCAAUUUCAACCAAUCACUGACGUCUGUUUAGGUAAAAAAAAACCAUUCUGUGCCGUAUGAAUAUGUCCCUCGUUUAAGAAACAGAUUGGGUUUAUUUACAUUUGUGAAGAAAAAAAGAUACCCUUUCCCCCACCCCUAACUCUAAUCCUAACCCUAACUAACCCUAACCCCAAAACAGAUUGAAAUGCAAUAGAUCGAUACUAGGGUCAUAAUUAUGGGUGACAAUUUCAUAUGACACCGCUAUAAAAAACUGCCGUUCAAACCGAAAAGAUCCCAAAAUCUAUUUCCCCAGACAUUCUAUUAUUUACUGAAUCAUUUAAAACAUUGUGGUUUUUUUUUUUUUGAGAACGAAACACCCGUGAUAAAUGAGGAUAGGCAUACUAACUUUACUAACUGUACUGAUGUUGGAAUGAGUAAAGAAAACAUUAACUUCAACGGGAUUUGAAUUCAAAAGACGGCGGGGAAUAUGAUAUAAUGUAUAUAGUCUUCUUUUCUCUAUGCUGCUAACAAAAAAAAAAAACCCAUAGUUUUUAUGACUCUGAUAUUAGAUUAUACACACUAAAUAAUUAUUAUAUUGCUAUAAGUGUGUCGAUAAUGGAUCAGAUACAUCAUAUUUGCUAUCUAUGAUCCAAAUUAAACAAAUCAAACAACAGCUUCACUGUCUUUAUAAAUUUUCAGCAUAAAUUUCUAAAUUUAUCUAAUUCUAUAUUGAAAUUAAAUGUACAAUAUAAAUAUUUACGUACGCAUGUAGAGAGAUAGAUAAAUAUAAAGAAUAGUAAAAAGCUUGAAUAUUAAAAAAAAUGUUAUCAAAGUAAGCAAGUAUUUGGCAUCGUGUACACAUUUGCAUCAAAACUGAUAAUCUCACUGCUAACAUGAACUCCUCCUCUUUAAGAGGUUUAAUAUGUUGGGAGAGGCGAACGGAUGAAGUUUAAUCUUUAUAAUCUCUUUUGCUCGUGUCCUUAUUUGUGUUUAUAUUAAGAUUAAAUAUUUACUCAAUGCUUAUAUGAAAGGCAGAUCAAAGAUUAAAUGUUAAUGACCUUUUGGGUUGACUAACGAUCAGAAAGAACCGCGUGUUUCAGUGACUCGUGACAUGACGAGAGCAGCUUUUCAGUGGCGGUGAAAGAAGUGUUUCAUCUCAUGUUUUUACACAGCAUUCGCCAGUGAGAAAAAGAUGCGUGUGAAAUAUAUAUAUAUAUAUAUAUAUAUAUAUAUAUAAAUAUAAUAUAAUAUAAAUAAUAUAUAAAUAUAUGCAUCUAUACAUACAUAUAUGUACAUACCUACAUAUAUAUGUGUAUAUAUAUAUAUAUAUAUAUAUAUAUAUAUAUGAGAUAUAUAUAUAUAUAUAUACAUAUAUGGAUACAGGACAUCAAAAAACGUUGAACACUAUGAGAAACGAAAGCAUAAAAACAAAAACAUAGAAAUCGAACUUUUUUUCGAACAACGAAAAAACAAACAGAGAAACGAGACAUGUAACAUAAAGAACAUUCCCCUUCAUCAGUUGUCCCUGUUUCAUCUACUCCGCGUUUCGAAGGUAAGGACAAUACGCAACUUCGUCGAAACAGUCCUUCUCGCAAAGCAAAUUAAAUAAAAUUUGGGAUUUUUUGCGGAGGGUGAAAGUGGUAACAGGAACAGGACAGUAAUAACAAGACAGUAAAAACAAACGGUGGGGGUUGUUAAGCCAAGACAAUAGAAGAAUUAUUAUGAACGCAAGGAGGACGAGUCCAUUUCUUUCCUAAAGGAAAUGGACAGAAAGAUAGAUUCCCUUUCGUCACGUGUCAGCGACGAGAGAGUCAAGGAGGAAGAAUGAGAAAGAGGGAACGGUGAAGAGGAGAGAAGUAUGGGAAGGGUUGGAGAGAAAACUAAUAGAAAAAUAAUAGAAGCCCUACUUUGCUAAAUGAUACAAAAUAUUAAAUGAAAAUUGUAUGUUAUCCAUAGAAUUCAGGUUGGAAGUCUUCCUGAAUAGAUUGUUCAGUUGAGCUUCGUCACAUCUAAUGUUUCAGUGUCGAUCUAGUUGCUAUUCGUGAUUUUACGACGUAUAUUCAUGAAAUGUGUAACCCAAUUAUGAUUGCUUUGAAACGAGAAUGAACAAUCAACUUUGCAUCAGUUUUAAAGUUUGAAUGCCCAUCAUCAACGCCACAGUAGCGAUCUCACGAAUCUGACGCUUUUUCAGUUUUGCUAUCAAACUCAGAAAAACCACAAAUUUUCGCUUUAAAUACUCUCCGAGUUCUCGAUGCAAUGCAUAAUUUUUUUUCUUUUGAUUACACUUAUAUAGGCGUAGGAGUGGCUGUGUGGUAAGUAGCUUGCUUACCAACCACAUGGUUGCGGGUUCAGUCCCACUGCGUGUCACCUUGGGCAAGUGUCUUCUACUAUAGCCUCGGGCCGACCAAAGCCUUGUGAGUGGAUUUGGUAGACGGAAACUGAAAGAAGCCCGUCGUAUAUAUGUAUAUAUACAUGCAUGUGUAUGUGUGUGUAUGCUUGUGUGUCUGUGUUUGUUCCCCCAACAUCGCUUGACAACCGAUAGAAUAAGUACUAGGCUUACAAAGAAUAAGUCCUGGGGUCGAUUCGUUCGACUAAAGGCGGUGCUCCAGCAUUGUUACUGUCAAAUGACUGAAACAAGUAAAAGAGUAAAAGAGUAAACAGAUGAUAAAUUCACCAAUUCCAAAUUGUUUGGCUGAACAACUAUUUCGUGUUUCUUCAUAAUUUUUUUUUUUAAUAUUUGAAGUUUUUCACCAACUUUAAAAAAGCGACGAUGCAUCGAAGCAUUCACGUUUAUAUAAUAUUGUGGUAAUCCGUGCACAGAAGAUUACACAUUAAUUAUGCAGAAAAAUGAGUGUGUAAACAGUUAACUGUAUUUCCAAACCGGACAGCGUAUGUUAAAAAGCACAUGAUCGCAGGAUCAGUGUUAUUCUGUCGACCAGUUUUCCCCAGUCUUUCUUUAUCCGCAUUUUCUUCGCCUCUCUUGAUUCAAUUCUCACUGUUGUGCCUUACGAGCAUUGUUCACCACCGCAACGCACCAAAUUCCGUUUAUAAUUUAAGAAGUACUUGACAUUAUACAGUUGUAACACUUGUAUCAAAACGCACCAUAACACAUAUUUUACGAAGGAAUUUAGAAACACGGCUAUUGAUAUAUAGUAGUUGUAUACUGUCAACUUAAUGUGUCAGUCCCAUGAAGGGAAUCAUACUACUGCUAUUUAGCUCUAGGAAGCAGCAACGCUUCCUGUCGGCCUUGACACAUUUCCUGUGUCCUUAUGUUUGUAAGGGGGAGAUAAGCACCUCCACCCAGCUACUAUACAACUACUUUAUCGUACCACGACUGCAUAAAUCUCUCUGAGAUAUUUAGAAAUGUAUUAUCUCUAUUGAUAUAUAGAUAGUAGGUAAAACUCCGUAUUUGGCAUAUAACUUUAUACACAUUUGACGAAGAAAUUUAGAAAUAGUGUUAUUAAUAUAUAGUUAGUUGAGAAAACUCUGUAUCUAGGGAAUACCGUUAUACAUAUUUUAUGAAGAAAGUUAGGAAUACGGUUAUUAGUAUAUAGAGAAUCGGAAAGACUCCAGAAAAUACCUUUGUGCAUUAUACGAAGAUGGUUAGGUACAGCGAUUAGUAUAUUUGUGUUCGAGUCUGCCGGAACGUAUUAAGAUUAGAUAUGAAAGUAAUCGUCUAGAUUCUCGCAGUUCACCGUGCAAAUAUCGAUUCAUUAUCUAUUAGAAGAUAGCAACAUGGAUCACCAAAGAGUUUAUUCACUGAAAUUAUAAACAAGGCUAUCGGCUCUUCUCAGAUUCGUUAGUCGGGGCGCUUCUGGCUGAUGAAACACAGCAUGUCGAAACAUCGAUAUCCUAGGAUCACUUACACGAAUGAACUGAUUGUAUUAUGAACGCAUAAUCGGCGUAAAGGAGGAGCUGUUCUCAUGUGAUAAAUAAAUGCAACAGCGAUUACCAUAUUUGCGUUCAAAUCUACCGGAACGUAUCAAAAAUAGAUAUGUAGGUUAUCUUGUGCGCAUGUGUGUGUGAGUGAUAUACAUUACAUAAACAUAUACAUGCAUACAUGCAAACACACACACACACACAUGCACACAUAUACAUACGUAGUUAAGAUCUCAUAUGACUAUAGUCGGUUUCACGUGGAUUUCCAACGCCUAUUUUUUUAAUAUCUUCUGUUAUAUAGAGAAUACCAAACGAGUUCCCUAUGGAUACCGUAUUUAUUACAACGAGUGGCUUGUAAACGUAUCUAACUCGCUUUCGCUCGUUAGAUAAGUUUACAAGCCACGAGUUGUAAUAAAUACGGUAUCCAUAGGGAAUGAGUUUGGUAUUUUAUUUAUUACACACGAAUAAACGACCAUAUUUAACAAAACCAUUCACCUUGAUAUCGACAACAGUAGCCAUCUUGUUGAUAGAUCUAUCCGCACUGCAAGAGUAUCGACGAGCAGACGAAAUAUGUUGUGAUUUUUUGGGCAACAAAAAAUUGAAUUACCACCAGAAAUGUUUAUAUUUUAUGUGUAUAUGACUUUAAGUGAUAUCUGGUAUAAAAAAGAUAGUAUGUUUGUUUAAUUACAUGGCUACAUUCUACCUGCUCGUGAAAGUAAUGAAUGAAGUUUAGUUGUAACUUAUAAUGACAAAAGUAGUGCCGUCACCGUGACCUCGGGUCAUCAUCAUGGAUUGACCAAUCAGAAGCAGCGCUCGCAGUAUCUGACAUAUGUUAGAUACCAAAAAUAUCUCAAAGUGUUCUCACUCACAUGUGUGUAAUAAAUCGCAAUACUACACAGUGGCUGUGUGAGCUACGAAAUCCCCGUCGCCACUGUUAUGUCGCACGUUCGGAUGACCGCUACUCUCUACUACUCUUCUCGACGUCUAGACUUCUCCCUGUAUAUCUACGUAUUGGGCUAGUCUACUUCAUCGUCUGGGGGCGUCGACACAACAUCUUCUCAAGUGAACUAUGGCACCUAUCCAAAUAGUUAUAUUUACGGUCACACUUCUUUAAUUGAAGAAUAUACAGUCCACAUUUUCAAUGUAUUGAGUCCUCUAUUUUGAGUUGCUGUCUACUUGAUUCUUAUUCGAGAAUUACAGUACAUUAGAAAUAACGAAGGGAGCUAGAUUAGAAGUUUGAGAAAACACUUGAAGCGCUAGGAUAGUUUAGGAGGAAGUUUCAAAUAGAUCAACAUGCGUGACUUAUCACUCGAAACAGAGAUGGUUUUCAAGCAGAUGGAACUGUUUAUAAUGUCAACAAAAAACUUUCAGUAAGACCGCGGACAUUGUGGUGUCCCACAAAGGAAGAAAGGGUAUUAGAAACGUAUAGCCAAAAUUCAAGAAAAUUUAUGCGGCAAAUGAUUCAUGAGAUAGAGAUUUUAAAAUUAAGAGUAUUUUGCAAUUUGAAAUAUUGUCAUUGAAAAGUUACAUUCCAAGAAUUGUUUGUAUUUCAAAUGAAAAUAAUCGGGAACGAAGAGUGUAGUUUUGCGAGUGGCAUUUGGCAGAAUGUGCACGAUUGCGCCUAUUGAAGAUCUGAGAAUCCACAUAUUACUAAGGAAUAUCUUGUUAAUUUACCAGGCGUUAAAGUAUGGUGCAGUCAAAAGGAUUAAUUGGACCAUUAAUUUUUUUACUGUACUUUGAGUGGUUCUAUUUACUUGAACUCGCCAAGCACUAGGGAGGAUUUUAGAGAUGUGGAUGUUUAUUUCCAACAAGAUGAGCGUCCUAACAUUACCACAGUAAUGUAAGGGCUUACCUUCUUGAGAAAAAUGCUUCCCCUGGACGAGGAGGUUCAUUGGAAUAUUCUCUGCAUUCACCAGACAUCAUACCACCAGACAUUUUUAUCGCGAUACAUAAAAGACAAAAUUUACAAAACACAACCGACGACAGCCAUCAAAUUGAUGGCCGCCAUUGAAAGAAAAUGCUCACAAAUACGGAAAGAAAUGUUUCUUGAUGUUUGCGAUUGCAUUAUUUUGCAUUAUCAGUUGUGCCCAGACCAGAAUGGUCAUCGGUUUGAAAGGAGGUAUUUAUAAAAUAAUAUAAUUCUUGUGUAGAUUCUAGUAAAUUUUAAAAAUGAAAUGUAUUUUAAUAAAUACUAACUUUAUAAUCCAUUUAAGGCGACGAGCUGGUAGAAUCGUUUGCACACCGAGAGAAAUGCUUAGCGGCAUUUCGUCUGCCGUUACGUUCUGAGUUCAAAUUACGCAGAGAUCGAUUAAAUAGGUACCGGUUACGCACUGAGGUUGAUGCAAUCGACUUAAUCCCUUUGUCUGUCCUUGUUUGUCCCCUCUAUGUUUAGCCCCCUAUGGGCAAUAAAGAAAUAAAUAUGUGUAUUCAUCUUUGGGAGAACGCCCUAUGUAUAUAUAUAUAUAUAUAUAUAUAUAUAUAUAUAUAUAUAUAUAUAUAUAUAUAUAUAUAUAUAUAUAUAUAUAUAUAUAUAUAUAUAUAGGCACAGGAGUGGCUGUGUGGUAAGUAGCUUGCUAACCAACCACAUGGUUCCGGGUUCAGUCCACUGCGUGGCAUCUUGGGCAAGUGUCUUCUGCUAUGGCCCCGGGCCGACCAAUGCCUUGUGAGUGGAUUUGGUAGACGGAAACUGAAAGAAGCCUGUCGUAUAUAUGUAUAUAUAUAUAUAUAUAUAUAUAUAUAUAUAUAUAUGUGUGUGUUUGUGUGGCUGUGUUUGUCCCCCUAGCAUUGCUUGACAACCGAUGCUGGUGUGUUUACGUCCCCGUCACUUAGCGGUUCGGCAAAAGAGACCGAUAGAAUAAGUACUGGGCUUACAAAGAAUAAGUCCCGGGGUCGAUUUGCUCGACUAAAGGCGGUGCUCCAGCAUGGCCGCAGUCAAAUGACUGAAACAAGUAAAAGAGUAAAAGAGUAAUAUAUAUUUAGCAUUAUAGUAGAUUCACCAUGUUAAAUACCUCCAGUCAGACACUAAUAACUUUGUAACUGAAGCCAAUUCAAGCGAUGGUCAGCACAGCUUUUGUUGUACCUUAAUUCGAUGUAAAUCGGAAAAUUUACAAUUGGUGUAUCGUAAUCAUUAUAAAGUAAUUACAGGAAACGUCAUGUCACUAAUAUUAACUCGUGUGAAGGCGGCGAGCUGACAGAAUAGUUAAUGCGGGGGUGGAGUUGGGGGUGGAAGGAAAAUGCUUAACGGCAUUUUGUCCGCCUUUACGUUCUGAGUUCAAAUGCCACCGGGGUCGACUUUGCCCUUCAUCCUCUCGGAGUCAUUAAAAUAAGUACCAGUUGAACACUGGGGUCGAUGUAAUCGACUAACCGACUCUAACCCUCCUCCGAAAUUGCUGGCCUUGUGCCAAAAUUUGAAACCAAUAUUAGCUCGUUUGUUCUUAUCGUUUAAUACCAUUCAAACCUGAUCGUCAAAAACCUAGAGUCAAAAGCGUUUCAUUUGUUAUCAAGCUGUCUUUAGGAUUUUAGGUAUAAACGCAUCAUGGAGUACAUUAUCGAAAAUGUACUUAUAAAUACUUAUUUGCUUCUGAAUUUUAAAAAAUUUUGAAUGUGUCAAAAGAUAAAGCAUUGUUUAUUUAAGAGGAUAAAAUGCGAUGAAAGAAUAUUAGACAUUACUUAAAUGAAAAUGUAAAUGCGAAAGGUCAAUCUGUUUCAGGCCUCAAGACUCGGAUUAACAAGACGGGUAAAACACGAGUGAAAAUGUGAUAGGUCAGCGAAUUUCGUUUAAAAAAGAAAGAGAUAAGGUAUAAACCAAGAAAGAACAGAAAUAGAGAAAGAAGCGAAUGAGAUUUAGAGAGGAAAGUACUUAAGAUUCAAGCAGUUUAGAAAAUACCAGAAUAUAUUAAGAGAGCAGUAUGUCAAGUGUUUUCAUUCAUUACUGAACGGGCAUAGCUGAAAACAGGAACUGUGUGGAACUACCUCUAUUGUAUUCUUGAUUCUUUUAUUCUGAAUUACAAUCAAGGAUAUUAAAAUGUUGGCUGAUUCAAACAGGAUAAAAUACGCGGGUACUGGUUAUGAAGAUGAAGUGGAACCUGACAAAAGGGAUCACAUGAUUAUGAAAUAUAAAUAUAUGGUAUUUAAGAUGGUUAUGAUUUCAAUUUAUAUUUCUCUGAUACUUGGUACUGCCGUCUUUUUAAUGGUUUAUUAUGUAUUUUUGUGGCGUCCUGUCAGGGGUAAUUACAGUUCCCAUCAUAUCUACAUCGAUCAUCAGAAACCUGUUUACCAUUCGGAAUGAAGCAUUUCAGAGGUAACACAAAUCAUUUAUCUGCUUUUUACUGUUGUAGAGUGUCCCAGCAUCGGUUAUGUGAAAUUGUUAAGAAUUUUUAUGCUUUGGUGAAAAGAAGGGUGCUCUAAAUUAUAACUUCAGAUCAAGUUGAAAAUAAUCAAUCCCAUACAACCAUAUAUGACUUAGAGGUGAUUGAUCUCGUGUUUUCGAGAACAGUGGCAAUAUUCAAAUUUCUUCUUUGAGCUAGUUGCAGGUUUAAACUUAACAUCCUUGAUGGCAUUUGCUUUCAAGCGAACAUGUACAAUUGUUUUUACAAUACCUGUAUCGCUAUAAGGUACUGAGUUUAUGAUGGAUUUAAAAUUUUAGAGAUGAAUUAAAAAUUUUUCAGAAACAUAAAAUAAUCAGAUCAAAUAUGAGCGUAUAUAUAAUAUUAUACGCAUGGAUAUUUAUGACUUCACCUUAAAAUCACUGAAGACUUCAAAAAGAACCAAAAGUUGACAACUUAAUGCAUUAAACAAUUAUGUAAAUUGUGUGUAUGUGUGUGUGGGGGCGGUAUUUACAAAUUUGUGAUAUACAUACAAAUAGCAAUCAAUAUUAGCUUAUUUGGAAACAUUCAUAACUCAUUUUUUCCACACAUAUAAACCUGCACAAAAUACGUACAACUCAAUCUAAACUAAACUACACCUAAUCUAAACUGAAACCAAAUUUUGUCUGUCUAAAUCCAUUGAUGAUUGUAAAGGUGUUGUACAGACAUGGUUGUUUCAUGAGCUGUAAGCUAAAUGUUUGCUUGAAAGUUGCCCCUUUUGGAAUGCUAUUCCAAGACAUCAGUUGUCAGGAGUACUCACUCCACAUUUCACAUUUUGUGAUGGAGUAUCUUCAGUCUCAACUGGUCAAUAUUGGUGUCAUCUGUGCAUGAUUCAUUAAAGUUCGGCCUGCAGACAAACUACACAACAAUCUCCCUUACUCAUAAUAUAACGAUUUCAAAUUUUGGCAAAAGACCAGCAAUUUUGGGGAAGGGGUUAAAUCGAUUAUUUCGACCCCAGCGCUCGACUCCGAAAGAGUGAAAGAUAAAGUUGACUUCUGCGGAAUUUGAACUCACAACGUAAAGACGGACGAAAUGCUGCUGAGUAUUUUGCCCGGCGUGCUAACAAUUCUGCCCGCUCGCCAUCUUUCUUAGUUCUAAUAUGACAUGGAAUGUUAGCAGCAGCUGUGAAAAUUCUUUGAUAAGAUUUGGACAUUUGUUGUUGAUUCUCAAAGUUUUACUUUAAACUUAAAAGUCAAAGGGUUUUCUCAUCCAUAAACGCAUGAAAGAGAGCAAUUGCUCUGCAUGUUGUGUCGUCUAAGCUGUAGCGUAGCUUGGAAAUUAGGCGAGGAAAUGGUCCUUCCCGAACGAUGCUUUUAUGGAGGUGGUACUUUUGGGUCUGUGAGACCCGGAAAGGGGGCAAAAGUCGAAAGGGCUGCCUCUGAUAGCACACACCCUAGUAAUACCAAUGCUCGUAAGCUAACGAUUUUGCCAGCACGCCAUCUUACGUCUAAGAAAUAUUAAUCAAUAAUGCGGUAUACACUAUAGAGGCAGCAUUUAAUUGAAAUAGCCAUAUGAUACAUCGAUGGCUACUUUACUUAAAUAUUGCUUCAAUUGAGGAUACUGGAUUAUUAAUCAGCCAUGCAGCUGUUUGCAACAUCAGUCAUUGUCUUAUUCAUUUUCCCUCUCGCCCGAUCAUGUAACUGGUUGUGAGUACACGCCAUUGAAAAAGCCUAAGUGAGCUGAAAUGCAUGUGGAGCGCUUACUGUCCGCUGCUGGGACAAAUUUUCUCCUCUGAUACUUGUGUUUUCAGCACAGCAUGUUAAAUAAGAGUUGUUAUCUCAGGACAUACUGCAGUAACUGGCCUGUCAACGUGAUAUAUACAUUAAGUAGGAUGUAUAUAGAUGGCUAUUUUAAUUAAUCAACAACUACCUCUGGGCAGCCGUUUAAGGCAAUGUGCCCCUCAGUGUUCCAGGUAGCGUGUCACUCAAAGUUGCAGGCAGUGUGUCACUUAGUACUCUACUCUAAAUAAUAAUAAGCUGACAAGCAUUGGGUACUAUGAAUUCUUCAUUUCCUGUCAUUGAUUUUCCCAGUGUUCAUAAUGUGACAUGAUGUAGGAGUUGAGAAACGUCUCAGGAGAGAGUACCGGGUUGGGAUGAGAAGAAAGUUAAUGGCAUCCACUUGUGUUCAGAUAGAACUAUCAAGUCAAACUUUAGAGUCCGAUGAAUAUUGUUACUUUCCAGCGAAAGACAGGUUCAUGCCCUUAGUCUCCAUAUUUCCCUGAAUUAACUUUUUAUUGUCUGCUAGGGGUUGAUGUCAUAAUUUAGCUUUGAUAUACACUUGUUAACAAUUCAAAUAUGCUCGAGGCAUAUUCAAAUCCGUAAGAAAAUCAUUCAUUACAUUUUGUCAACGGAGAAGAAUUCUCCAUGUCAGUUCGGAGCGCCCUCUACUCAGAUUAAUGAAUGUAUGCAUUUAGGAGAAGUUAUCUCCUCUUCAAGAGCGCUCCGAACUGAAUGGUCCGAACUCAUUUAUACCUAUUUGGCUGCAGUGAGAAUUUCCGUCAUGACAAAAUAUAAUGAACAGCUUUCAGACGUGUUCGAAUGUCUCAAACAUAUUUGACCCAAGUAACAAGUCUAUAUUUGUGUACAUCAUUGCUUAGCGCUUCUAAUCCGUAUCUUAACUUUUAAUAUGAUAUUGAAAAGCAAACUCUAUCAUCAAUUUGGGAUGAAAAUAAGAUUUUGUAUUUUGGCACUUACCAUAAACAUCAUUAAUAAAUUUCAAUAAAAUUUACCAAGUUACGUCAUAAAACUGGUUCUGCAUGUUUAUUCAAGCCAAUUAUAUCUGUUUGCUUGUGAUUAUUAGGAUUCUGCAAAACACACACACACACACACACACACGUGCUGGUCUUGCAACUCGAAUUUCAUGCUACUGCAAUCUUCAGGAGGAACCCUGAAGAUCGCGGUUUCACCUGGAGGUCGCAGUGGCGUGAAACUCGAGUGUGUGUGUGUGUGUGUGUGUGUGUGUGUGUGUGUGUGUGUGUGUGUGUGUGUGUGUGUGUGUGUAUGUGGUGUGUGUAUGUAAAUAUAUAUACUUACAUGCGGACAUACAUACAUACACGGACAAAAACAUACGUAUAGGUAUAUACUAGUUUAUAUGUACCCUCCAAAAUAGCAUUAAAAAAAAAAAUGAAAUUGAUAUUUAAUAAAUGCAUUGUCAUAACACGUAUUAAAUAUAUUUAAUAUACACUUAUUAAAACACACCAUGCAUUACUUAGGCUCUGAUCAAUGUUUAUUCACCCAAAUAUUUUGUUAAUAAUCAACCAAUGUAGCAGGGUUUCUAUACGCAUAUCAUUCCAGAAGUUCUGAGACUUUCUCAGAAGCGACAUUUAUUAAUUUCAAAGAAGUACAAAACUCUAGUGUUCUUCGAAGUAUAAUUCACUGACUUCAAUACACUUGUUGUAGCGUUCCAGCCACUUCAUGAAGACCCCACGGGAGUCCUCUACAGUGAAGGUAUCCAGGACUCUUGUCACAGCCUCCUACGUAUUUCUCAAUGUCUUCAAAAUGACUGCCCCCGAGGUUCUCCUUCAACUCGAGGAACAACCAAAAGUCACUGAGAGAAAAUCUGGAGUGUAGUGAAAUCUCUGUCAAGUAGUUGGUUACAGGCGGCGAGCUGGCAGAAACGUUAGCACGCCGAGCGAAAUGCUUAGCGGUAUUUCGUCUGCGUUACGUUGUGAGUUCAAAUUCCGCCGAGGUCGACUUUGCCUUUUCAUCCUUUCGGGGUCGAUAAAUUAAGUACCAGUUACGCACUGGGGUCGAUGUAAUCGACUUAAUACCUAUGUCUGUCCUUGUUUGUCCCCUCUGUGUUUAGCCCCUUGUGGGUAAUAAAGAAAUAGGUUACUAGGAUGGAAUUAUUGACUGAUGCAUUGUUCUAGUGCAGCUGCUCAGGUCUUUUGCGACGAAAUUUCUUCCUGAACUCAUUCAACACCACUACAAAGUACUUUUUGUUGAUCAUCUGAUCAAAGGGAACCAAGUAGAUUUAGAUGAUUUCCUUGCUAAGGAAAAAGGGAAUCAUCAUGAGCUUUCCGGAGGACUUGCUUUGCUUGGCCUCUUAUGUCUGUGAAAAACGAUGCUCAGCUCCUACAAGUUAAUCUAUAAGCAAUCUAGAGUUUUUCAUAUGGUUUUUGUAGCGUUUCUGCCCAGCUUAACACAAAACUUUGAUGCAUAACGACCUUUCAAAUUGUCUUCAUAUAUAUAUAUAUAUAUAUAUAUAUAUAUAUAUAUAUAUAUAUAUAUAUAUAUAUAUAUAUAUAUGCGAGACAAUCCAUCACUAGAACUGUAAAAAUCUGUAAAGCUUUCCAGAAGUUUAUCAUUUAAAUAUAUAUCAGCAUGUCAAGAUAUGCAACUAUAUGCAUGAUAAUGCAUACAUAAUUCUUACACACACACAUACAUGCAUGUAUGGAUGCAUGCAUGCAUGCAUACAUACAUACAUACAUACAUACAUACAUACAUACAUACAUACAUACAUACAUACAUACCCUGUUGUUGAUAUUAGAAACCGGUCCUUUCUCUAUUGGCAAGAACUCUUAAAAUAAACUGAAUAAUGACGAAGAGCUGAUUGUAUCUCAGAGUAUGACUAUCGUCCUGUGCGACCAUAAUUCUGAAGGUAUUGAGAUCAUUGCUAGGCAUUGUUUUUUGACCAUGUCUGGUGUUCACAGUGAUAUCCAUCCUCACAUUUUAGAACACGAGAAGUUUCUGCAAGGCAUCAAUCAUAGACCUUAUUAGUCUAAAGGUAUAAGGUGGCGAGCUGGCAGAAACGUUAGCACGCCGGGCGAAAUGCUUAGCGGUAUUUCGUCUGCGUUACGUUGUGAGUUCAAAUUCCGCCGAGGUCGACUUUGCCUUUCAUCCUUUCGGGGUCGAUAAAUUAAGUACCAGUUACGCAUUGGGGUCGAUGUAAUCGACUUAAUACCUAUGUCUGUCCUUGUUUGUCCCCUCUGUGUUUAGCCCCUUGUGGGUAAUAAAGAAAUAGGUAUUUCGUCUGCCGCUACGUUCUGAGUUCAAAUUCCGUCGAGGUCGACUUUGCCUUUCAUCCUUUCGGAGUCGAUUAAAUAAGUACCAGUUAUGCACUGGAAUCGAUAUAAUCGACUUAAUCCGUUUGUCUGUCCUUGUUUGUCCUCUCUGUGUUUAGCCCCUUGUGGGUAGUAAAGAAAUAGGUAUUUCGUCUGUCUUUACGUUCUGAGUUCAAAUUCCGCCGAGGUCGACUUUGCAUUUCAUCCUCUCGGGGUCGAUAGAUUAAGUACCAGUUGCGUACUUGGGUCGAUCUAAUCGAUUGGCUCCCUCCCACAAAAUUUCGGCCUUGUGCCUAGAGUAGAAAAGAUUAGCCUAAAAGUAUGCAAAUUAAUUUCUCAUGUUGUUUUUCAAGAAUAAAAGUGUCGUUCAUACUGUUCCGCUGGAGUUCUGUCAGUAUUAACGAUUAACGGCUGCAUUGGUUUACCUUACCCAGGUAAUACGUAAACUAUUCACGUCAUUUUUAUGAGCAUGGAGCACCCACUGAAUAUCAAGAAUAAUUCCUUCCCUAAGAGUUCGAAUAUUUGUGUGACGCAGCUGUACCAGCUGUUGCUCAACCCUCAUGGAAGGAAUCUGAAGAAACUUUGGCUUUUCACCUGAUAGAACCAAACAAUAAACUUACUCUUGGAUGUUAAAGUAGGCAUUUGUAUGUGUCAAAAGAUAAAGUAUUGUUUAUUUAAGAGGAUAAAAUGCGAUGAAAAAAAUAUUAGAUAUUAAAUAAAAGGUGUAAAUGUGAAAGGUCAAUCUGUUUCAGGCCUCAAGACUCGGAUUAACAAGACAGGUAAAACGAGAGUGAAAAUGUGAUAGGUCAGUGAAUUUCGUUUAAAAAACGAAAGAGAUGACGUAUAAACCAAGAAAGAACAGAAAUAAAGAAAGAAGCGAAUGAGAUUUAGAGGGGAAAGUACUUAAGAUUCAAGCAGUUUAAAAACUAUGAGAAUAUAUUAAGAGUGUCCAGUAUUUUCAUUCAUUACUGAACGGACAUAGCUGAAACAGGAACUGUGUGGAAUUAUUUCUUGCGUAUUCUCUAUUCUAUUAUUCCGAAUUACAAGGAAGGAUAUUAAAAUGUCGACUAAUACAAACAGGAUAAAAUACGCGGGUACUGGUUAUGAAGAUGAAGUGGAACCUGACAAAAGGGAUCACAUGAUUAUGAAAUAUAAAUAUUUGGCAUUUAAAAUGGUUAUGAUUUCAAUUUAUGUUUCUCUGAUACUUGGUACUGCCGUCUUUUUAAUGGCUUAUUAUAUAUUCUUGUGGCAUCCUGUAAGGGGUAAUUACAGUUCCCAUCACAUCUACAUCGAUCAUCAGAAACCUAUUUACCAUUCGGAAUGAAGCAUUUCAGAGGUAACACAAUUAUUUAUCUACUUUUACUGUUGUAGAGUGUCCCAGCAUCGGUUAUGUGAAAUAGAUUUAAAAAAAAAAGUUUACGUUUCAGUACCACAGGAAAGGUAAGGAUCUACUAGUAGACAAUAUAUGGAAAUUUGUUUAGAGACGCGUUAUUCCGAAUCCUCGAAAGUGACAACGAUUCUGUUGAUGGUUCAAUCUGAACAUAUUCCAAUCCAUUUGCUAUCAAAUAACGAUCCAAAUAGCGAUCUACAAUUGUAUUUAUAAAGGUUUUAUUUCUAUAAUGUAUUGUAUUAAUGAAAUCAAUGUAAAUCACUUAACUUCGGGUUAUUUUAGAAAUAAUUAAGAAAUUAUUUAGAGGUAAUUUUCAGAUACUUAGGAACCAAGGAAAGAAGUCAUAAAAUGGAAUAUCAAACAAAUUUUAUGUAAUAUCUAUAGAUAUGAAACUGAGAAUGUGUGUGUGUCUGUCUGCCUACCUGUAUGUGUGCAUCACUAAAACUCGAGAACCAUCCAACCGAUUUCAUUCAAAUUUUACACAUGCACUACUUAGGGUCCAUGGAGUGUUGUAGGCCAAAAUAUUUUCAUCUUCUUGCCUAAUUACGAGCCCAGAGCAAUCUCUUACAUUGUUUUGGUAUUACAUGUCUAAAGUGAAACAAUAACAUCUCUAUUGUAAUGUGAGAUAAUAGUUUCAUUUUAAACAGUUUCUCUAUUAAUAGUGAAACUAUAUAUAUAUAUAUAUAUAUAUAUAUAUACAUACAUACAUACAUACAUACAUACAUACAUACAUACAUACAUACAUACACACAUACAUACAUGUAUACAUACAUAAUACAUACAUACAUACAUACAUACAUACAUACAUACAUACAUACAUAUAUACAUACAUAUAUGCAUACAUACAUACAUACAUAAGGACCACACGAGUUGAUAUAUAUGAAAAAAGUCAAGGUAGAAAAUACUAAAAUAAUUUUAUAAAAAAACAUUUCAGUACCGGUUUCAGUCAUUGAGACUUUUUCAACUGUAACUAUGGAAAACAAUUAAAUUUUGGAAAAAUGAAAAGAAAAGUAUUUAAAAGAAUAUUUGUAUAGUAUUCAAAUACAAGGGGCAUUUUCUUUGUUUCUGCCUGUCUCUGUCUCUCUUGUUUACUCUAUGUAGAGGGAGAAUGGGCUGCCGUAUUUUUCUAGAACCUUAUGAUAAAGACUAAUUUCUAGAUAUCCCAUGACUAAGUUAGCAAAGGAGGGGGCCAUUCUCGUACCCAUCGCAGUCCCCGAUUAUUGUCGAUAGAAAUUGUCUUUGAAAACGAAGUAGUUAUUUUCCAGGAUGAAUUAUAGCCCUUCUAUCAUGCAUUCUUCUUCUUCUUCUUCUUCUUCUUCUUCUUCUUCUUCUUCUUCUUCUUCUUCUUCUUCUUCUUCUUCUUCUUCUUCUUCUUCUUCUUCUUCUUCUUCUUCUUCUUCUUCUUCUUCUUCUUCUUCUUCUUCUUCUUCUUCUUCUUCUUCUUCUUCUUUAAGGAGAUAAUUAAAUGCAUUCAAUCGUUUUAUAAAAUAUUGAGAAUGUUUAAAAAAUUAUGGUGCACAUAUAGAUUAACUAAUAUCAGUUAACUUGGAAACGUUUGUUAAGCAAUUACACGAAUGAUUGUAACUGAAUUUUAUUUUCUCUUUACAAUUGAGCCAAAGGAUGUUUCGUGCCAGAAAAUUUUACAUCAAGAUUUAGUCUUUGUGUGUAAGGUGAUGGGUAAAGAGAAUUGUUAGGGGAAACGUAAGUUAAUCUUAAAUGAGAUUUUUGACUGUCUGAAUCCAUACAUGAUUGCAAGUAUCGUGUACAGAUAUCAUCGGUACUUGAACUGUAAUGUAAGCUUGAAAGAUGCUCCUUUUGAGAUGUUGAUCCAAGACAUCGACUGUUGAGAAUAUUCUCAUCAGUUCCUUGAUCUUGUGACACAACCUUUUCAUUGUUAGAUGGUCGAUAUUAGCAUGGUCGAUAUAUGCAACAUACUUUGGAGUACAGCCCGUAGACAAGCAAUAUCUCAAUUUCUCUCAGCAGUAAUGAUAUACCCUAUGAGAUGCUAGCAACAAAUAUGGAUUCUUACACAAGGCAUAAAAAUAUGAUGUAUGACGUAUAAAAGGGAGCUAGUGUUAUGCAAAGUGUUUCUCCUUAGGCAGAGCCAAUGCAAUUGAGGGAGAUCAUUGUGAUUUCUUUUUACAGUUUUUAAUGAUAUCCAGGUUUCCUGUUUAUGGAUUUUCUGUGAUGAAGUGGUGGAAAUUACGCAAAAUUUACGCUUUACCAUCUGUCUCUAGUGCGAAACAUUCAAAGGGAUGGAUAUCGCACAGCACAAAACAGGAGUAACUGAAGACGAAUUAUUAUAAACCUCCUCAUUAUUGCAUUGUUGUUAAUUUUGCUUCAUUGGAUUGUUGACUCCUUGAUGUAAUAUUGACAGAUUUAUCAUUUUUGAACUCUGCUUCCAUAGUUUUGAUUGGAAAUUAUGAAAACAGCUUCUUAUCCGAAUUUUUAAAAAAGUUGUGCCAGGUUUCUAGGUCUUGAUACUAUAAUAGACACGUUUUAUAUAUAAUUUCUUUGCUUCUCCUUCAUGUACCUUUCAUUGUCAUUGUGAGAUACUGAUUUUGGACAAUAUCUGUGGUUGCUGCCCUUUCCAAAUUAUGUUGAAUUCUUUGGGGGGGGGGGGGAUUUUCAUGAAAUAUUCAUCAAAAUCUUGUCUUUGACAUUUAUUCCAGGUAGAGCGUACUUCAGUACUUCACUACCAAUAAUAAUAAACUAAGCACUGGAAGGUAUAAAGAAGGCUCAUGGCGGAAUAUUUCCUCCUAAUAUAUUCAGGCCAGACCAUUAGUUCAAACGUAUGAUGCAGUUAAAUAUUGUUAUUUUCCGCAAAAAUAUUUUCUCGUGGUAACCUAAACUAACCCCACACCAUUACUGGACAGAUCAUCGGUCACUCGGACUUGGCCGUUACUUUUAAAAUAGUACCAAAAAGUAAACUUUAGCAUCAAUUUGAAAUGGAAAGGAAAUUUUAAGAAUUUCGUUUCCCCAUUAUGAAAACCCUUACUAAAUUUCAAUAAAGGUUACUCAAGUUGUGUUCUACACUAACAUCUGUAUCAAUAUUUAAGUCAAUUAAUCCUCUUUUAGAUAAUUAGGAUCCUAACCAUGUUGAAACACACACCUACACACACAUGAUGGCUGCCCCCUCGUUAUCGAGUAUGGCCAUUGCACUAAGCUUAACUGUUAUUGGUGCUGUGAUCGAAUGUGACUUUUUAGCCUAGCUAAAGAUCUACAAUGUCUUGUACAGAAUUGGCAGCUAAAACUUUUACCGGCAGUGGCCAGCUGUACUUGUAACUGGGCUUCAUGUACCUACACACACAUACACACACACACAUACACACGUCCAUACAUACAUGAGAUGGUUGCAACUCGAUUUUGAGCAAUGCCAUCGAUUGAUUGUUCUCUUAAAGCAGCACGGAUGUGGCUUUUCCGUCCUGUUAAAGACUGACGCUUUGUCUACAGACGUUGCAACGAUGAGCGUCCUUUGCAACAGGUGUUUAGAGAGCUUACCACCCACGCAGACACACGCCUUCAUUCCAUCAUAUAAUUUUUCCUUGAGCGAUUUGUUCUUUUUGGCUACGGUGAGGCAUUGUAUACAGCUCAUAAUAGAGACAUUAAAAUAUCAAGCGAUGCCUGAAGCUUUUUUAAAGUGAGGAAAAGCCUUGUACAGGGCCAACCCUAAUCUCUAAACAACGUAUCUAUUUGACCACAAACAAGAACUAUACAUCACUGGAUGCUGACAGAGCCACAAGUGUUGCAUCGGAUUUUUCCUUCUUCUAGAGAAAUGUCUAAAAAGACUAGGGGUUCCUCACCUUAAGCUAUUGGAUGCCCGCUUACUCUACCGAGUUCAUCUGAUGCUUGAUUCGUUUUGGUUUUCUUCUUUUAGGGUGUCCAACGAAAUCCACCCUCUUUAUUAAGCAGGCUUGGUAGAGUUUCUGGUUUAGUCACUGACGGCUCGGCUGUGCAACACAUUGUACUAGGUUACAUGUUGCCAGUAGCACUAAAAGUAGCCUUACAUCACAAACACACACACACACACACACACACACACACACACACACACACACACACACACACAAUUCAUACAUACAUACAUAAUACAUACAUACAUACAUGCAUACGUAAAUACAUACAUGCUUGCAUACAUACAUACAUACAUACAUACACACACACAAACACACACACAUACACUCACACACAUUGUACAAUGCCGAGCUUACAUAUUAAUGCAGACAUGUACACAUAAUUUCUUCCAUACUGUAAUUAAUACUACAUGAAAAGGGUCACGAAACGGCUGUAAUCUUAUGGGAGUCAUGUGACUAUAACACUGGUCAACAAAAUGAAACUUUUUUUAAUCAUCAGAGUUGCUGAUUGACUUUUCAGGGUUAAUUUUUGAUGCUGAUUACGAAUCUGAAGUCCGAUUUCCUUUAUCAGGUCACAUUUUCAUGUUAAUGAUACCUGCUGUUUUAACUUAUAGGAUACGUAAAGCAUGUCUAUAUAAAGUAUAGUGAAUACAAGAUACGAUAAUUUCAUGGCUUUUUAUUGUACAAAAUUAUAAUUAUUGUGUACAAAUAAGUUAGAAUACACUCAAAAACAACUUUAAAUCUUUGGGAUUUGAACUUUCUAUGGUGUUUUGUCUCAGAUUCAUCCCUGUAUAACAUCCAACAGUAUUCAGCUAACAUUCCUGCAUUCCAAAAUCCUUGAUAUCGUUGCUCCAUCAAUGCAAUAUCUUGAUGAAAACGUUCCUCUUGCUCAUCAGAUACUGUUCCAAGGUUCUCUGCAAAAAAGUUCAGAUGUGAAUCAAGGAAAUGAACUUUUAAUGACAUCCGACAGCCUAUUACACCGUAGGAGUCUAGAAGACAUUUCACUCCAUUUCUAAACUCUAGAGACCUCCUGUUGCCUGGAAAAUUUUCACAGAGCCAUUUGAAGGAUUCCCAGGCUUUAAAUUCAAUCUCAUCCAGUGCUGUGAGGAAGUGGUUGUCCUUCAGGAGUUCUUUUAUCUGCGGACCUAUGAAUAUGCCCUCCUUCAGUUUUGCCUCGGUGAUUUUUGGAAAUUUGGCCUUCACAUAUUGAAAACCUUUUGAGCUUUUCCUGGCAAGUGUCUUCACGAAUUGUUUCAUGAGACCAAGCUUUAUGUGAAGAGGGGGAAGAAGAAUAUUUUUCUGAGUUUAAAAGUAGCUUACUCUGGUCGCUAGAAACUCCCGGCUCAUAUGAUUUUCGCAAAGGCCACCCUAAUUGCACAUAGUGCUUGUCAGCUGCACGACUGUUCCAUAGGCAUAAAAAGCAACAAUUUUUCGUAAACCCAGAUUGCAUUCCCAUCAACAUUCCAAUCAUCUUCAAAUCACCACAUAUUUUCCAGCUGUAGUUUGUAUACUUUAUGACAUUGAGGAGUACUUGCAUGUUUUCAUAACACUCCUUCAUGUGCACUGAAUGUCAUAUGGAAAUGGAUGGUUUCUUAUUGUGUAGUAGUACUGCCUUCAGGCCUCUCUUAGAUGAAUCAAUGAAUAAGCGCCAUUCAGCUGGAACAUACUCUUGGAACAAACAGCAAAAUAACUCAUCAAUGUUAUUACUGAAACAAAGUGGUCCAUCAACAGAGAAGCAUGAACUCACAUUCCUAUUUCUCUUCCUGAAAUGAGUAAUACAAACAUCUUUCUUAAGCAGACACUUUUCUUGUAGGCGUGAUGUUAAUAGUUCAGCUUUAUCCUUCGACAAUGACAAGUCUCUAACUAAAUCAUUUAAGUCUCCUUGAGAAAAUUUCUGUGGUACGUCUUCAUUUUCAAUCAGGAAAUCUGCAUCCACUUCGGUGUCUUCCACAGCAGUAGUAUUUUCUUGAGAAAAUACAUCUUCGUCAUACAUCUGAAGGCCAUUUUCUGGUGGUAUUGGAAUAGGAAGAUCAUCAUCGUUGUGUGGUACUGGUCUUCUUGCUGAUUCCAAGCUGGGAUACACAAUCUUAUGCUUGGUCUUUACAGUAAACCCAUAUACAUUAACGUUGUAGAAAUAACAGUCCAUGAAAUGAUCCUUUGGCUCUCUCCAUAUCAUAGGUAUUGCAAACGGCAUUGUUCUCUUCCUCUUAUUUAGCCAAUCCCUUAGUCCAUUUGAACAAGCUGAGCAGAUGAUUUGCGGGGCCCAACUCUUAUCUUGAUCCCCAAGAGAGCAGGCUAAGUAUAACUGGUAAAUCUUCUUGAUUUCCCUUGUGCUAGGACGCUGCUGAGCUUUGGUGGUAAAUGAACCACAGACAUGACAAAAUAUAUUAGGACUGUUCUUGCAAUGCCUUGAGAUCCUGAGUAGAAUUUGAUGAUGAUGAUGACUUGACACCUUAAACAGAAAGUAAAAUUUAUGAAAAGAGAAGAUUAUGAAAACAUAAAAUUACAAAAUGAAUACAAAUAGUUAUAAAACAGAAGUCAGAAUUUACCUGUAUAAGACGUUUACGCUUAGCGAUACUGCUGAUGGGAGUUAUAAACCUCUCUUAUCUUAUCAGAAAAACUGUGCCUGAUAGAAGGAAACCGAUUACAUUUUUGAAAUCUGCAAACAAAACUACAUAUAAAAACCAUAUAAUAUCCCUUAUGAAAAUUGGCUGUUGACCAGUGCAAUGUAUAUUUACCUUACAUAUAUGUAUAUACGUAGGUACGUACAUACAUACACACAGACAUAUACAUACACAUAGGGAUUAACAAAAUCAGAAAGAACACGCUAAUCACAAGAUUACGGAUAUAAGCUGUCAAUGCUGCUGUCAAAAUAUGUUUAGGAGCUUCAAUCAGAGCUGGUUUGCCAUCAUUUUGGGAAACGAUUUUGAAAAGUUCUUCCGCAAGAAACAUUUUAGUCAUUUUUAGCACAAAUAAUUCGAAAGUUAAAAGAAAACAAAAUUGAAAAACAAAUACGCACACAGAUGUAUUGCAUGCGUGCAUGUGUGUGUGUGAGUGUGUGAGUGUGUGAGUGUGUGUGUGUGUAUGUGUGUGUGUGUGUGUGUGUGUGUGUGUGUGUGUGUGUGUGUGUGUGUGUAACGUUUCCGUAAAUUGAGAGGGAAUUAACUAAAA
rnacentral:lncRNA from 1 species